GUGUGUAUGCAUAAAACUGAAUGACAGCAGAGUUACUAACAUGGGGAAAUACAAUGCAAUUUAGAGCUUCCCAGUUUUAAAUGCCAAGUUUGAAAAAGAAGAUGGAGCUUAAAAUUGACAUUUUUGUUUUUCUAUUUUAGAAAUGUGAAAUAACAUAGCCAAUCCUUUGAUCACCUUCAGUGAAAGUUGUGCUGUGAAUUUUCCACCACUAGUCUUGUGUUAACCCUACCUCAAACAAAAUGGUGCCAUCAGAGUACUCCUUCUGGUCAUCCUAUUUCUGGUGUUUUUUUCUUUUCUUUUUGUUUACAAAACUUUGGUCACAACUGAAAGAACUCUUAACACCUCUUUUGAAGGUGGUAGAGGGUAGGAAUCUAGGUUGUAUGGGUCAAAGUAAUGAUUUUGAAUCACAGAAUCUUUGAAAUCUUUAUAUUAUUGUGUUCCUAUGUGUCAACUUAAAUGUUUGGUAUUCGAAUCUUGUGGUGGAGAGAUUGAAUACAAUAUACACUUGUUGUGGUAAGGGCCCUGUAUACAUAGUCUCUUUUACCUGUUAGCAUUUGAGCUGGAAAUAUUAGAGUUCUUCACAUUAGGCAAAAAUAGUCUUUUUUUUAUUUGCUUAUGUGUUGAAGCAUUCUUUCAUUCUAAAGAGUCAUCUAUUUGAUUUUACUAUUUAAAGUGAAUUUUGCCUUAUCCAUAUAUUUUGAUAUUUUUUGUGUUUUACGUUAUUGUAUUUUGUUAGUUUGAUACUUACUUAUUCCGUGUUGGCCUAUUAAUAAUGUACCUGUUUAUUUUUGAGUUUGGCUGUGAGGAUUUGCAAAUGCACUUUGCUCUGUGAUGUGACAAGAUUGGGGCUAUUUUAGAUUUUACAAAAAGAAAGAAGAAAAAGAAAGACAUUUUGUCCUUUAAAAUGCUUAUGAAUUGAUGGUUAAUUGAAUUGGGCUACAAUUACUUUAAUAUGUACUUGAAUUUAUAGUCUAAUUACUGAAAACUGUCACAGAAAGGAAAUGAGACUAUUUAUUUUUUUUAUACUACGAAGUUAACUUGGUUUACUGCGCAAGUAAAUUGUAAACUGUAAUCUGAUGUCGAGUCGCAUCUGUAAUACACGAUCACACUGCCGCUCAAAGAAGUAAACCAAUGUGAAUAUCCAGAGCUUGAGUGUAUAGCCCAGAAGUUACACUGUGUUUCUUGGUCGCUUACAGAUGGGCACUUCUAUGCUCGCAGCUGCCUUUGAGGGCUUAUACAAGCCAUCUUACUGAAUUAUGUCUAUGCAAUCAGUAGUGUUCUGUUUGUACCAUGUUCAUAAUAAAGUUUAUAAUGGACCAUA